AUAGGAUCAGCCAUGUUUAAGGCGUAAAUUCUUGAGAGCAUUUUAUAAAAAAAAUACUUGUAUGUGAUACAGAGAUACGAACAAUUAUGGAUCCCCGUUCUACUGCGCAGGAUGUACACCGAUGUGGCUUUUGUGAGACCGCCAUAGUACACAGCUACUGUGACAUCUGUCAUGUCAACCUAUGCAUACCUUGUAUAGGUAAACACAUCUCGGAUGGGUAUCAAAAACAUGCAAUUGUACCUUUCCAAGAACGAAGAACAACCUUGAUCUACCCGAAAUGUGGAACUCAUAAAAACAAAAAAUCCAAAUUGCAGUGCAAGAAUUGUGCCAACAGUUUUAUUUGUUCUUCUUGUACUGCAUCUGAACAACAUAAAGGCCAUAUAUUUGUAGAAGUUUUGCAUGCUUACAAGACACAAAAAGAAAUUGUUAAGAAGGACACAGAAGAAUUAGAAAACAGUAUUUCUCCUAAAUAUGAAGAAAUUGCACGUGACUUGGAAAAUCAGCUUGCCAAACUGGAUGGGAGGAUAUGAGAAAAUUACAACAUCAAUGUCCAAAGAAGGAGAGCAAUGGCACAGAGAAAUCGACAUCGUUAUCAACAAAAUGAAAACUGAUAUUAAUGAAAUAAAAGUGAAACACAGAGAUAUUCUACAAAAACACUUGGGUGAAAUAAAAAAAAUACAAUCUCUCAUAAAUCAAACAUUACAAGCCAUAAGGAAAAUCGAGAAAUCCACUGACGUAUCUCUUACCAUUGAAUACAGUUCUAAAAUCGCAGAGGUUAGAAAGUUUCCAUUCAAAGAAAAGGUGAAACUGCCAACAUUCAUUCCAAAACCAAUAAACCGUGAAAAGUUGUGUAGCUUUUUUAUUAUCUACUGCUACGGAAGAACAUGUAUUGUCACAUAACCAACCAAACACUUCAGUCCAGGAAUUAUUGGAUGAACCAGAGAUUGUUGGCACAGUGCAGACUGGAUACCAAAAACUCCGAAAUGUUACCUCGCUGAAUGAAGAACAAAUAUGGACGAGUGGAGAGAAUAAUCAUAUUAAAUGCUUCAACAUAAAAAUUUCACUUUUUCAAACAAUCAAAACAAAAUCUGGAAAAUGGCCCAAUGAUUUAGCUGUAGACGGUGAAGGGAAUCUUCUUUACUCCGAUCGGACAGAAGGGACAGUAAAUAAAGUAAAAAAUGGACAGACAGAAGAACUGAUCAGAUUGCGGGGAUGGGGGCCGUGCAAGCUUUGUGCCACAUCUUCUGGCGAUUUGCUAGUUACCUUAUGCAGCAAUGAUGAAUCAGAAUACAAAGUUGUUCGUUACUCUGGAUCUAAAGAGAAACAAGCAAUUCAGUUUGAUGAUGAGGGUAACCCUCUGUACUCAAGAAAUAAAACGAUUAAAUACAUCACAGAGAACAGAAAUAAUGACAUCUGUGUUGCUGACUAUGGGGCUGGUGCUGUAGUGGUGGUUAAUCAGGGCGGGAAACUCAGAUGGAGAUACACCGGUCAUCCCUCAGUUAUUAAGAGCAAAACAUUAAUACCCUUGGGUAUCACCACAGACAGUCAUAAUCGUAUCCUGACGGCAGAUAGAAACAACCAGUGUAUCCACAUUCUGGAUCAGAAUGGACAUUUUCUCCAGUACAUUGAUAACUGUGAUCUCGAGGAUCCUUAUGGUUUAUGUGUGGACAAUAACGACAAUCUGUUUGUGUGCGAGUUUAACAAAGGCCAUAUAAAGAAAAUCAAAUAUCUAAACUAGACAUUCAAGCUGUGGCAAUAAUACAUACCGAACAAGUGUUUUAUAAGACAUUCUGUUGCAACAAUAAGUUUAUAUAUUAUGAUGACAC
rnacentral:sRNA from 1 species